rnacentral:sRNA from 1 species
GGAUGUGAGGCUGGCUAGGUGGGUGUCCCCUUCCUCCCUCACUACUUCACAUGCAUCCCUCUUGAAGCUGUGUGCUCGGUCUAAGAGGACAACUUUCCCUGAUAGAGGAGGACUGUUCUUCAAUUACAGGCAUGCAAAUAACUGCACUCCCUUUGGGAGGUGAUUAGGUCAUAACGGU